rnacentral:piRNA from 1 species
UCCUCGUUUUCUCCACAAGGAGUCCAAAGA